UCUGAAGUUUGUGAGGAUGAGAACCUCCGGGGGUAGAGGUUCGACUCGAGCGGAGCGAGAGAACGUUGCGUCAGCAAUGGCCCGAAGGGCGAGCCACGUAGUGGCGAGUUAUCCUCUAUCACCGACCA
rnacentral:sRNA from 1 species